UACGUAGGGGGCAAGCGUUGUCCGGAAUCAUUGGGCGUAAAGCGCGUGUAGGCGGCUCGAUAAGUCUGCUGUGAAAGUCCAGGGCUCAACCCUGGGAUGCCGGUGGAUACUGUCGAGCUCGAGUCCGGAAGAGGCGAGUGGAAUUCCUGGUGUAGCGGCGAAAUGCGCAGAUAUCAGGAGGAACACCAAUGGCGAAGGCAGCUCGCUGGGACGUGACUGACGCUGAGACGCGAAAGCGUGGGGAGCAAACAGG
rnacentral:rRNA from 1 species